rnacentral:rRNA from 1 species
UACGAAGGGGGCUAGCGUUGCUCGGAAUCACUGGGCGUAAAGCGCACGUAGGCGGCUUUUUAAGUCAGGGGUGAAAUCCUGGAGCUCAACUCCAGAACUGCCUUUGAUACUGGGAAGCUCGAGUCCGGGAGAGGUGAGUGGAACUCCGAGUGUAGAGGUGAAAUUCGUAGAUAUUCGGAAGAACACCAGUGGCGAAGGCGGCCGGCUGGACCUGACCUGACGCUGAGGCACGAAGGCGUGGGGAGCGAACGGG